rnacentral:lncRNA from 1 species
CUCUCUCUCUCUCUCUCUCUCUCUCUCUCUCUCUCUCAAAGUAUAAGACAAUUUUCUUUUGGAAAACUUCAAAUACCCCCUCGUGGUUUCACUUUUUCUCACUUUUAUACUCUGUGGUUUAAAAUGUAGGAAAAACUUUAAAAAAUCCUCCUUGUGGUUUCAAUUUUUUUCACUUUAGUAUCAUGUAGUUUAAAAUAUAUCAAGUUAGUUUCUUGUGGUUUCUCACUUUAUCACUUUAGUACCCUGUGGUUUAAGGUGUAUCAAGUUAGUAUUAUAUGAUUUUGCACUUUAUCACUUUAGUAUCAUGUGGUUUUAAUUUUGUAUCAAGUUAGUACCAUGUGGUUUUUUAAACUAUGGGGUACUAAAGUGAUAAAGUGUGAAACCACAGGGUACUAAAGUGAUAAAGUGCAAAACUAUAGGGUACUAACUUGAUACACUUUAAAUCGCAGGGUACUAAAGUGAUAAAGUGAGAAACCACAGUGUACUAACUUGAUACAUUUUAAACCAUAGGGCACUAAAAUGAAAAAGUGUGAAACCACAGAGGGUUUUUUUGAAAUUUUUCCUAAAAUGUAUCAAGUUAGUACUCUGUAGUUUAGCACUUUCUCACUUUAGUACCCUGUGGUUUAAAGUAUAUCAAGUUAGUACCAUAUGGUUUUCCACUUUCUCACUUUAGUAAUCUGUGGUUUAAUAUUUUAUUAAGAAAAAAUAAAACCACAGGGUAUUAACUUGAUACUUUCAAAAAUAAAAUCACAUGGUACUAACUUGAUACAAAAAUAAAAUUACACAGUCCUAACUUGAUACACCUUAAACUAUAGGGUACUAACGUGAGAAAGUGCAAAACCAUAUGGUACUAACUUAAUACACUUUAAAUCAUAUAGUACUAAAAUGAAAAAGUACAAAACCACAGAGAGGAUUUUUAAAGUUUUUUUUUUUUUUUUCUUACAUGGGUGGUCAUUAGAUGGGCCACAUAGUGUCCAUCAGCAUGAUCCCCAAACUAUUAGUUUGGGGAUAUAGUUUGGGGACAGUCACCAUAAAAUUUUUGUCCCUUGGGUGAAGUCAUUACUCGUGUUCAUUAAUUUGACCUAAUAAACGUGAUCUGUACACCUGAAAACGUAAUAGGUUACAGAGUCUUUGAGCACAACUCACUGAGUCACUGUACACCCCCACACUUGAUCCCUGCUUUUAGCUUAUAAAUAAAUCUCACCACGUUUUACAAAUUUUAUACAACUCAAUAAUUAGAAUGAGUAUAAAAUUUAUAUUUUUUAUAUUUGGAUGCAAAAGUAGAAUUUUUCAUUUGACACAACAUGAUACAUCACAUGAUGCGUAUGCCAGCUUUUGUUGGGAAAACGGCCAGGCACAGCCUUCGCCAAAGGCUAACCAAUUUUUUUUUUGUUAAAAAAAAUAUUUUUAAUUAUGACAUUAAUUUUAUAAAGUGUAUAUAAUAAUAAUAAUCUUAAAACGGGCUUAGACAGUUUGGAAUAAAAAUUUUGUGGGCAUGUUAUUUGUUUGGGAACGAUGCGGCACGCGGCGCCCAUCAGAAAACGGAAAAAAAAUGUGGGCUCCGAUUUUUUAGAGAGAGAGAGAGAGAGAAAAGCAGAUGAGAGAAAGGGGUGGUCAGGAUGGGCACCUGCACGCCACAAGGCGUCCAUCAGUUCAGCCCCUAAACAAGUUGUUUGAGGACAAAUACCAAUAAAAUUUUUGUCUCUAAUCAAGUUGUUUGAGGACGGAUGCCUAUAAAAUUUUUGUCUGACAGUUUGGGAUGAUUUAGAGCAUCUAUUUGGAACACCGAAUUUAAUGUUAAUAAAAUAAAAUGUUGUCAUGGAUGAUGUUAUUGGAUUUGCUUCUUCAAGCUUUCUAAAUCUUAGAAUCAGAAAGAAGGUAGGCUUUUGCUUGUUGUUUCUGGAUUCGACUUGAGUGCUCGGCUUCAAGCGUUUAUUGUUGAAGCCCUGUUUAGGUAUUAUCACCUUUUGAAGUAUCUACUUCCAGAUAAGAAUAAUGGAGGAAUUGCGAGAAUGUUUAAAACAUGUUGAAAAUUAAUUGUAACUUUUUAGAGGCACAAAGAGCACAAAAUUUUCAUCUAUUAUUUAGGUGAAAAUCGAACCUACUAUAUCUAAUAUAUUUAGAAUAGCAAGUUGCCUAUGUACAGCUUAUACAAUUGUGUUCAAAAUUAAAAACAAAAUAGAGAAAUGAUUCGGUACUUUUUUAAAAAAUAAAUAAAUAAAUCUUAACCGUUGAUUAAUAGAGGGUAAAAAUAUAACUAUAUUAAUCAACGGUUAAGAUUUUUUUUAUUCAAGAUUAGUUUGGUAAUUAAAUAAUACAAUAUUUAAAGAAACUUUUAAUUAAUUGAGGUCCUAAAUUUAUGCAUUAAUUAGCACUACUUUAGAAAAUUAAUUGAUUAACCAAAUUUAUGCAAUUAUUAGGCAUUAAUUUAGAAAAAAUUAAAUACUUAAAAUUUAAAAGUGAAAUUUAAAUUAGAGGAAUUUCAUAUUACUAUUUAAAAACUAAAAUUCUACCAAGAUUUAAAAUACAGUUUAUUUGCACCAGUUUAAAACAUAAUGCAUAAAAAACUUAGAGAGUAAGAUUUCUACAACUAGAUUUCUCUAGAGGAAUUUCAUAUUACUAUUUAAAUUUUAAAUUAAAUGAUUUAAAAACUAGAUUGAGCCGAUUGAUUUGACUAAUCAGAUUUUAACCUAUUCUAUCAAGAAUCUGAUUUUAACCUAUUGAACCGAAACUGAUAAAGAUAAUAAAUAUUUUAAACAAAAUGAUAAUUUAACUGUUAGAGCUAAUAAAUAUUUUAAAUAUAAUUUUAAACAUAUAAAUUAAAAAGAUUAGAAUUAUUGGUGAGAAAAAAAAUAGUUAGGAAUUUGAAUUCGAAUCUGACUAACAAUCACAAAACUUAUUUCCGAACUCGACGGAUUUCAAAAAUCCAUAUCCAAAUUCAAAACUGACCAAUUUUUCGAAACCCAAAACCAAAUCCAAACCAGAAGACUAGAAUUCAAACAAUUAUUUCUGUUUAUCAUAUUUCAAAGUAUUUAUAUGAAACUUAAAUUUUUAAAAUAUAAAUUUGAAUAUAAUAUUAAAUUUUAAAUUUAAAAGUAAAAUUUAAAUUAGAGGAAUUUCAUAUUACUAUUUAAAGUUUAAAUUCAAUUAUCACAUUGUCAAAUCAUUUGAAAUUUUCCUUAUAUGAAAUACCAAAUUAUGAAAGGAAAGAUAGAGAGAGAAAAAGAAAACAGAAAAAAUAAAAAUUUUAAAAAUAUAGUAGAUGUAAAUGACUAAAUUGCCCAUGUAUUAAAAGACAAAAAUAUUCUUUUUUGAGGUACCUGGUAAUCGGUACCUCUCCCAAAGUGACCUGCUAUUGCAGGUCACAAUUUUAAAAAAACUAAAUCUGAGCCGUUGAAUAGGCGUGAAUGAACGGUAACCAAAAAAAAAAAAGUAUAGAAGCAUUACUCAACAAAAUAUAGCAACAAAUAAUAGAAAGCACAAGUCGCGAUAAAUGGCACCCAACUCGACUGAUAUGUUUCUUAAUUGUCAGAAUAAGAACAAAUGAAGAUAUUAAACCCUGCCUCCUGCCUUUUUACAACAGUGGGUGUCAGCAGCCAUCAUCAGUUUAUUACAAUUAGCAUUUCUCAGAUUAAGUACAGAAAGAAUGAUGAAUAAACCUUUAUUCUGAUCCAAACUAAACAAAAGUCGCAAGUUAAUUAAAAAUUACUCGCGAAAACAAAAUCUAGACCCUAAGUCAAAUGUGCUAAAUGCUACACGAGAUAAGUCGAUCAACACGCGGGCUUUAGAUGAAAUGCUGCAGCUGUAUUAUCAUGACACUGAUAUCAUCCCGAGAGCCUCGCGAAGCAGAUAGAUUGGCGAGUACUUUGCAAGCUGAGAGUAGUGGGGAUUUAUCGUUCUCCAUACACAGCGGUCGAGCAAUAUCUACAGCCUCCUGAUUGCUAACCUAAAGACAUAGCAAACAGAGUAAUGUCAUAUUUCUGAUCAAAUUUAAAAGAAUAAAAAUGGUAAUUACAGGAAUGAAAAUGUAUGGGUAAAUCCCGUACUACCCCGAUACUGUGACUUAAUAACCAUGUUUGAGCAUAUUUGAGACUAAAGUAUUUAAAUGACGGAGCCCUAGGACUAAGCCACGGCAUCGAGAUAGACCGGACAACUGAGGGAGCUAGCCGUACAUUUUAACCGAAGAAUAAAGAUGGGCAUUUAGGAUGAUGACAUUUGAGAGAGGAAUUGUUACCGUAUCCCAUAAUCCGUCGGAAGCUAGAAUUAAGAACUCGAAUUCAGGUGUAAUCUUCAGAGUUUUCGUCUCGGGCUCAGGUAUCACCCACUGUUUAAGACUCGAAUCUCCGAUCCCCCUGGAUACAGCGAGGGAGCCUUGCACUCUCCAUAUACCUCGGUAGCAAUCCACAUACCCGCCCUGCAAAACAUAAAAGAUCCAGAGUAUAAGCAACUAAUUCUUGCGACAUAGGUAAGAGAGAGUACCAAACAUACUGCAAAUCUGCAUUUCUGAGCAACUAUUUGGUUGCUUCUUAUCUUGAAGAAGUUGCAUCAUGAAAUAUUCUAGUUUGAGAAGAAAUAUUAUAUAGUCUAUUGAUAUUUCUCUUCAGAACCAAAGAAUACACAUCUACGCUAAUGAAUGAGAUGCAUAUGCUAGGUUUCAAAAAAUCAAAUUUAACACAAGGUAUACAAAAAACUAGAUAGAUACCUAUAUUACCACACAAAUUGUAAGUUGGAUAAUUUACUUAAAUUCUAUGAAUUCUAAGAUGCCAAAUUGAGAAAGAAUUAAGCUUUGCGAAUUAAAUUUACUUACGAGAUUCUCAAUUCGGUCCUUCUCAUCCGCCCUAGACGGCCGGUGAUCGGACGUGAGGGCCUCGGCCUUCCCCGCCCUGCUAAGAACAGCACGGCAGUCCCCCGCGUUCGAAAUAACGAGAUUACCCUUCCGAAGCAAGGCCGUCACACAGCACGUUCCUCCGCUCUCCUCCGCCUUCAAGAACUCCUUGUCGGUCUUCAAAUACCCGAUCUUAACCGCCUCCUCUAUCUCGCUACAGCUCUCUCCGCCUCUCUUCUCCACUUCCUCCACUAUGAGCUCGCCUAUGUUCUCGGAGGCAAACUCCGCAGCUUUUUUUCCUCCGUGGCCGUCAAAAAUAGCAAAAAAUGCCUGAAAAUUUAUGGAAAAAUUAGAUGCAUCAUGUAAAACAACUAGAAAAUAAACUAUUUUAGAAUUCUACAAUUAAUAACGAGGAAUCAACAACUAAAUUGACCUCUUUUUGGUUAAAGACAAUGAUUAUAAACUAGGAUUUAUACAUUUGAAUGCCCAGAGUUUUUGCCCCUUUUCACUCGUUUCACAGCUUCUAAAAUUCUGAAAACUAGUCAUACUUGAGCGAACAAAAUACUUUUUUUUCUUUGACCAUAGUGCGAGAAAAAUAACAAAGUUUCAUAUCAAAACAAAGAUUUCGCCUUUUUUUUUUUAUAAUAUCUACCAAUAGAUGCAAACUUGUCUCGGAAAGAGACACGACUUCUCCCAUUUGAACCAUUCAAAGUCAUCUUGGCCCACAAUUUUUCGCGUUUUUACUAAUUUAAUAUCUUCCUAAUAAUAUGAAAUUAGACAAAUUGACCCCAAUAGUGGAAAUUUUGAAUAUUUCGCAUGUUAAUUUUUAUUUUUCAAAAUAAAACGAAAUAAAAUGAAAAAAAAAAAUUGGAUCAAACCCUAGAAAACGUACCAUUUGGGGAUCGUCACGGAGAUCGAGCGAGGCGCGGUGCCGAUCCUCCAUCUCCAACCGCCUCUUCCCCCUCUUGCAAUACACCGAGAACCUCGCGCUCUCCGCCUCCACCUCGCCGAGCCCAUCCGACCCCGCGGGCGCCGCGGCGAAGGCCUCCGCCGCGGGUAUGUCGAUCCGCGCGGGCCUCUUCCGCUUCAGCAGCGACCCGCCCCCGCUCGAGCACGAGGGCCUCGGCGGAGAUGGCGAGGCAUCGAAAUCCAUGGCCCUCGUCGCCCGGAGCGCGCUCGCCCCCCUCUGGAACCGCGACCGGAGGGCGGUGGGCGACGAGCACGGAGAGGCAUCGGGCGCCUGGAUAUGGUGGGGUGCUAGGGUUAGGGUUAGGGUUUCGGGGGAGCCCUUGCACGAGAGGGGCAUGCGCGAGGGGGAGAACACGGGGGAGCUCGCGAUCGUCGCUACGGUGCACGACAUCGUCUUCGUCAAAUACCCCCAAAAAAAAAAAAAAAUCACCAAAUUCCAAUUUCAAUCUCUUUACUAUCUGUUUCCUUCGUCACAAGGAGUUCUCUACGACGCCUAUUUAUAGCAAUAAUAACCUGGCAUUACAAUACUCCGGAGGAACAAUUUAAUUACCAUGAUCCAAAAGAUUUUUAUUUGGAUUAAUUUCAUACAAGUUUCUGAGUGAACUGCAAAUUAUCCUGUAAAGUUCAACUUUUAUAUAUUGCUCCUACAAAAAUUUAAAUAUUUUUAUAUAUAUUUCUAUCAUUAGGAUCUGUUAGAAAAAAUUAGUUAAUUAUAGAUUAAAACACUUAACCUUAGUUAGUUAAUGAAAGGAAUUAACUUUUUUACCUGUUUUCAAUUAAGAGUUGGGAUUUUUGGAGGGACAUAUUUGCGAUGAUAAAAUAAUUAUUUUACUUAUAAAUAAAUAGUACUUUAGUGGUAAUAAAUCAGAGGAAUAUAUUUGAAAAUAUUAGGACUUUUAUAAGAAUAAUAUAUGAAAGUUGAAUUUUAUAAAAACAUAUUUGCGAUCCACUAUGUUUGCAAAUCCUUUCGAAAAAACUUCAAAUACCAUCCUUGUGGUUUCGCACUUUCUCACUUUAGUACCCCGUGGUUUAAAAUGUAUUAAUUUAGUACUCUAUGAUUUGAUUUUUCUCUUUUUAUUAUCCACUUUAUUUUUUUUUGUUAAAUCAGUAACAAAGUUAAAACUAAAUAGUACUAAAAUGAAUAUUUGAAAAAUCUAAGUGAGGUAUCUAAAGUUUUUGUAUAUAAUUUAAUAAAAUAUUAACGGAGGAUCUGACGAAAAGAAAAAAAUAAAAACAUAAGGUACUAGUUUAAUAUAGGAAAAACUUCAAAAACCCCCCUGUGGUUUCACAUUUUUUCAUUUUAGUACCAUAUGGUUUAAAGUAUAUCAAGUGAGUACCCUGUGCUUUCUCACUUUAUCACUUUAGUACUCUUUGGUUUAAAGUGUAUUAAGUUAAUACCCUAUGGUUUUGUACUUUAUCCUUUAGUAUUCUGUGGUUUCACACUUUAUCACUUUAAUACCUUAUAGUUUAAAAAAUCACAGGGUACUAACUUGAUACAAAAUUAAAACCACAGCAUACUAAAGUGAUAGAGUGCACAACCACAGAGUACUAACUUGAUACACUUUAAACCACGGGGUACUAAAGUGAUAAAGUGAGAAACUAUAUGGUACUAACUUGAUACAUUUUAAACCAUAGAGUACUAAAGUGAAAAAAAUUAAACCCACCACGAGAGUUUUUGAAGUUUUUUCUUUAAUAUAUUUUAAAUUAUAAAAUAUUAAAGCAAGAAAGUGUAAAAUUAAAGAGGUAGCAUUUAAAGUUUACUAUUUUGGAUUAUUUUUUUUUUUGAUACUUUGGGAAAGAGAGAAAUUGCGGUGAAGGAACAAGAUAACGCGAGUAUUUCAGCGAGUCAAAGCUUAUACGAGUCGCGUGUUAAAAAGGUGUGGAAAUUUGUGCAGUGAGACACGGUCUCGUUGGAACUGAUCAGGAAGAAACAGCUGUUGCGUGGACGUACACCAAACACCAAAAUAAGGAGGGGGGGCGAUAGGAAGGCGACACGUGUGCCUCAAUUGCCGGACAAGUUUAUCGUUCUACGUGUCCUUUCGCUAUUGGGUUUCUUAAAAGGGAUCUUAGUCGCUAAGACUUAAUCCGCGGACGAGGAAGCGGGGCAUGAAGAAGAGUCGGUUCGGGUCGGAUUCGCUGUAAAUCUUUCGGAUUUUCGGGUCAGGAUGUAUAUCCAAUUAGAAGUCGGUUUUGUCAUACACAAUCAUCUGGUAUCUUCUAUGACUGAAGCUAUUAAAAAAAUAGUUAAUUUCAAACUGGUCCCUAUAUUAAAUUACAAAUAUAUUUCUACAAAAUUCAACUUUCAUAUUUUGUUCCUACAAAAGUUCUAAUAUUUUUGAAUAUAUCACUGCAGUUAGAAUCCGUUAGAAAGCUUAAGUUAACUAUAAAUUAAAUAUUUAAUUCUGAUUAGUUUGUAAGCUAAUUUGAAUAAAAAUUGUAAGUAUGGUUUGUAAUGUUAUACUACAAAAUAACUCAAUUAUAGCCACAAUACACUUUACUACAUCAGAUCAAAUGAAAUAAAUUAUUCGGAUCAUCAAAUAAGACCCGACCCGUUUGUGGGUGACGAUUGUAACGUCUCUCAAAGCGACGUUGGAGGAGUGGGCGGCUGAGAAGUGAGAAGUAGCCGUUGGAAGUGGAGCUGAAUUUAACUGGUCAACAAGUAGCCGUUGGAAUAGGGCAUGAAGGGUUAUUUUUGUCAUUUCACUGGUCAUUCUUUUAUGGGAAAACUUCAAAAACUCCUAUUUGGUUUCACACUUUUUCAUUUUAGUACCAUGUGAUUUAAAGUGUAUCAAGUUAGUACCUUAUGGUUUCUCACUUUAUCACUUUAGUACCCUGUGGUUUAAAGUGUAUCAAGUUAGUACCUUGUGGUUUUGCACUUUAUCACUUUAGUACCCUGUGGUUUCACACUUUAUCACUUUAGUACCCUAUAGUUUAAAAAACCACAGGGUGCUAAUUUGAUACAAAAUCAAAACCACAGAGUACUAAAGUGAUAAAAUGCCAAACCACAGGGUACUAACUUGAUACACUUUAAACCACAGAGUACUAAAGUGAUAGAGUGAGAAACCACAAGGUACUAACUUGAUACAUUUUAAACAACAAGAUACUAAAAUGAAAAAAAUUGAAACCACAAGUAGAGUUUUUGAAGUUUUCCCUUCUUUUAUUAUGGUAAAGAUGUAUAGAAU